AACAAAUGCUAGGGGUGCUGAAAAGCUGAGAAGGAGAUAUCCUAACCCUUUGAACCUGAUGUGGUUAGAACCAUCGUAGGGAAGCUGAGCUUUAGUAUA
rnacentral:ncRNA from 2 species